UGGGGAAUUUUGGACAAUGGGCGCAAGCCUGAUCCAGCCAUGCCGCGUGUGGGAAGAAGGCCUUCGGGUUGUAAACCACUUUUGUCAGGGAAGAAACGGCCUGAUCUAAUACAUUGGGUUAAUGACGGUACCUGAAGAAUAAGCACCGGCUAACUACGUGCCAGCAGCCGCGGUAAUACGUAGGGUGCGAGCGUUAAUCGGAAUUACUGGGCGUAAAGCGUGCGCAGGCGGCUUUGCAAGACAGAUGUGAAAUCCCCGGGCUCAACCUGGGAACUGCAUUUGUGACUGCAAGGCUAGAGUACGGUAGAGGGGGAUGGAAUUCCGCGUGUAGCAGUGAAAUGCGUAGAUAUGCGGAGGAACACCGAUGGCGAAGGCAAUCCCCUGGACCUGUACUGACGCUCAUGCACGAAAGCGUGGGGAGCAAAC
rnacentral:rRNA from 1 species